rnacentral:ncRNA from 1 species
AAAAAGGCAGUGAAGAGGCUAGUAGUACCAUGUACGUACGAAAGAGAAUGGGAUUCAUCGGCUGAAAGAUCCCAACGUCAACGACGGGUAUGAACCUACCUCUGAGCCGUUAGUUAAAAACUGACCGCAGAUAAGACUGUGUUAAAAAUAAAAGCUGGACAUAGGAAAUCUAUGUCAAUUUAGGUGGUACCGCGGAAAACCCUUUUCGUCCUUCAU